rnacentral:lncRNA from 1 species
CGAUAUCACACUUAUAGGCUUAUACGAGGUCAAUACGUGACCUAUACGACGCUAUACGAUACGAUAUCACACUUAUAGGCUUAUACGAAGUCAAUACAUGACAUAUACUACGUUAUACCAUACAAUAUCACACUUAUAGGCUUAUACGAGGUCAAUACGGGACAUAUACUAUGCUAUACGAUACGAUAUCACACUUAUAGGCUUAUACGAGGUCACUACGGGACAUAUACUAUGCUAUACGAUACGAUAUCACACUUAUAGUCUUAUACGAGGUCAAUACGUGACCUAAACCACACCUAUACGAUACGAUAUCACACUUAUAGGCUUAUACGAGGUCAAUACGGGAACUAAAUCACACCUAUAUGCUUAUACGGGCUUAUACGAGGUCAAUACGUGACCUAUACGACGCUAUACGAUACGAUAUCACACUUAUAGGCUUAUACGAAGUCAAUACAUGA